rnacentral:lncRNA from 1 species
UGAGCAUUCUUCGGGAGGCACUUGUGAAACUCAGCCCAGGUGCUGCCCAGGAUCAGGAGGCUGAGACGUGAUCUGGAAGUGAGUGCCCAUCCAUACACCUUCCCCAGCUUUGGGGCCACAGAGGGACAGAAACCGCAGGCAGGCUGGCCUGGGAAUGAACCUACACCAGCCUGAAGUCAGAAGAGCCUCUAGGAGCCUCCAGCCUGGACUCUUUUUACAGAUGGGGAAACUGAGUCCCAGAGAGGGAGCAAUGAAGGAUGUCUAAGGUCAUCAGCAACGUAAAGCCAACAGCAUCAUCCUGAGUCAUGUUUGAACCUGAGGGAAAGAAACAUAUGUUCGAAGAGGUUCUGAGGCUGCUGCACCCGAUAUCAUACCUGGUUGGCCCUGGGAAAGGGCCCACCUCCAAUACAUAAACACAACCAGCUUUGACAGGGACUCUGAUUACACUGGACCUAUCCAAGAUCUGAGAUCAUCAACUCAUCUCAAAAUCCUUAAGCUGACCACAGCAGCAUCGUCCCUUUUGCAGUGUAAGGGAGCCCAGCUGGGACAAUGUGUGAAUCAACGCAUGAAGGAGUGAGUGAGCAGCUAACCAAAUGAAAGAAUACUCAGAUAUCUGGGGUACAGUUCCCCUCCAGGUUUGCACAGCAUCUGCUGAAGUCUCCACUAGAAACUCAAUGGAAGGUCCCCACCGGAAACUGAAAGUCUCCUAGAGUGGCUUUGAGUUGCGGUUUCACCCUCCCUGCAGAUCCACAGGGGAGGCUGGGGCAGAUGGAAAAUACCAACUUGAUGGUCUGUGGCCACACCAUGCUGCUCCCCAAGGCCCCUCAGAAUUUCACUGCCCAAUAUGGUAGCGCCCAGCCUGAAACGUGGCCAGUGUGAAUUGAGAUGGGCUGGAAAUGCACCAGACUUCCAAGAGCUGGACAAAAACCAUAUACUUUCCAUCCAGCUGUUUGGCAUUGGAUACUGCUGCCUCUGCUUGACUUGAGAAUGUGUGAGAAAAGCUGUGUUUAGACAACUGAAAACCAUGAGCUUGAAAGUAGUGGGGGCACACUCUUGGAGACUCCAGUUGCUCACCAGCUUGGACAAACCACUGGACUCAAAUGAUCAGGUAGAAAUUCAUCACUGGAGAGAACACAGUGGAAUGGCUUCAGCGAAAACUCACUCUGAAGGUCUUCAGGGCAACUUUAAGACUUGCCCCUGGCCGGGCACAGUGGCUUAUGCCUAUAAUCCCAGCACUUUGGGAGGCCGAGGCGGGUGGAUCACCUGAGGUCAGGAGUUCAAGACCAGCCUGGCCAAUAUGGCGAAACCCUGUCUCUACUAAAAAUCCAAAAAAUUAGCCGGGCGUGGUCGUGGGCGCCUGUAAUCCCAGCAACUCGAGAGGCUGAGGCAGGAGAAUUGCCUGAACCCGGGAGGCAGAGUUUGAAGACAGCCGAGAUUGCACCACUGGGCAACAAGAGCAAAACUCCAUCUCAAAAAAAAAAAAAAAAAAAAAAAUACUUGCCCCGGCUUUUUGUGUGAUGGACUUUCUAUUUACAGACGUGAUAUUUAUCUAUGACUUUACUCAGAGUCUGGCUCAUAGACCAGAAGGACUGGUAUCUCCUGGAGCUUGCAGGAAAUGCAAAAUCUCAAACCCCUGUAUUAGUCAGGGUUCUCCAGAGAAGUAGAGCCAAUGGGAUAGAGACAGGGAUAGGGAUGAUAGAGAUGGAGAUAGAGGUAGAGAUCCAUUGAUUCCUCUGUUAAUAAAUUGGCUCAUGCAGUUGUGACAAUUUCGAAAUCUGCAAGGUAUGUCAGCAAGCUGGAGACCCAGGGAACAGUUGAUGUUGCACCUUGAGUACAAAGGCAGUGUGUCUGGAGCCAUAAUAUCUUCUUGUUAGGAAGACUUUGGUCUUUUCUCUUCUGGCCUUCAACUGCUUGGGUGAGGCCCGUCCCCACUACAGAAGACAAUAGUCUGUUCUACUCAGAGUCUACUGAUUUAAAUGCUCAUCUCAUCCCAAAAAAUACCCUCACAGCAACAUUUAGCCUGUGCAUUUGACCAAACAACUGGGUACCAUGCCCCCCCUCCCAAGUUGACACACAAAAUUGACCAUCAUACCCUCCCCACCCCCAGUCUUACUGAAUGAGAGAGAAUCUGUGCUUCAACAAGAUCCCCAGAAGAGGUAUAAGCGCAGGGAAGUCUGAGAAGCACCACCUUUGAGGCUUAUCCAGGAUGCCCACAUGAGCCUUCUCUGGAUAUGUCAGAUCCCCUUCCUGGCCCCCUAGACACCUCCUCCACUCCCCAAACUUGGAAGCAACAUUGUGGGGAAGCAGGCAGUGAGGCGCUCAGUCUACCACGUUGUGAGAUACACAGCUCCAUCUGUGUAUCAUGAUUUGAUCCAAGGGAAAACAAAAGAUCCAGAAACAUAAGUACUUUUUUGUGAGCUCUCAAAAACUUCCUGUGACAAGAUCAGGUCGUUGAUGCGAGAGCCACACUUGUUUCUUUUUCCUCUUUAUUCUCCACCUCUGACAUAAUACUUAGCAUAAAAAAAAAUCCAAUAAACACCACUGAAUCAAUUAUCUAAGCCUCAGUUUCCCUCUUGUAAUAUGUACUUACCUGGUUGUGGUAGGAAAGACACCAGGCAUGAGAAACACUUAAAAGCCCAGGACCCUGAGCUGGGCACAUGGUAGGUACUCAGGAAGUCAUUGCCGAGUGUUCAGUGCAUGCUUGUUGAAUGAGUAAAUGAGGUCAGGCUUCAGCAUGCAAACACUCGCUAUAAAGCAGGAACCCUGUGCCCUGAGUGCACAAAAUAGAUAUCGGUGAGUGCAUAUGGGGGCAGUGAGUGUAUGGAUUGGAUAUAGGUGGGUGUAUAUGGUGAGGAG